rnacentral:rRNA from 1 species
GAGCGCCCCGCAAGGGGAGCGGCAGACGGGAGAGUAACACGUGGGAACGUGCCCUUUGGUUCGGAACAACACAGGGAAACUUGUGCUAAUACCGGAUAAGUCCGUAAGGAGAAAGAUUUAUCGCCAAAGGAUCGGCCCGCGUCUGAUUAGCUUGUUGGUGAGGUAACGGCUCACCAAGGCGACGAUCAGUAGCUGGUCUGAGAGGAUGAUCAGCCUCACUGGGACUGAGACACGGCCCAGACUCCUACGGGAGGCAGCAGUGGGGAAUAUUGGACAAUGGGCGCAAGCCUGAUCCAGCCAUGCCGCGUGGAUGAUGAAGGCCUUAGGGUUGUAAAGUCCUUUCGGGGGGGAAGAUAAUGACGGUACCCGCAGAAGAAGCCCCGGCUAACUUCGUGCCAGCAGCCGCGGUAAUACGAAGGGGGCUAGCGUUGCUCGGAAUCACUGGGCGUAAAGCGCACGUAGGCGGCUUUUUAAGUCAGAGGUGAAAUCCUGGAGCUCAACUCCAGAACUGCCUUUGAUACUGGAGAGCUUGAGUCCGGGAGAGGUGAGUGGAACUGCGAGUGUAGAGGUGAAAUUCGUAGAUAUUCGCAAGAACACCAGUGGCGAAGGCGGCUCACUGGCCCGGUACUGACGCUGAGGUGCGAAAGCGUGGGGA